CUACGGGCCGCUGCAGUGGGGAAUAUUGGGCAAUGGGCGCAAGCCUGACCCAGCAACGCCGCGUGAGGGAAGAAGGUUUUCGGAUUGUAAACCUCUGUCCUUGGGGACGAAGAAGUGACGGUACCCAAGGAGGAAGCUCCGGCUAACUACGUGCCAGCAGCCGCGGUAAUACGUAGGGAGCAAGCGUUGUCCGGAAUUACUGGGCGUAAAGGGUGCGUAGGCGGCAUAUUAAGUCAGGUGUGAAAUACUCGGGCUCAACCCGAGGGGUGCAUUUGAAACUGAUAAGCUUGAGUGUGAGAGAGGAAAGUGGAAUUCCUAGUGUAGCGGUGGCAUGCGUAGAUAUUAGGAGGAACACCAGUGGCGAAGGCGACUUUCUGGCUCAUAACUGACGCUGAGGCACGAAAGCGUGGGGAGCAAACAGGAUUAGAUACCCGAGUAGUC
rnacentral:rRNA from 1 species